CACGUAGGGUGCGAGCGUUGUCCGGAAUUAUUGGGCGUAAAGGGCUCGUAGGCGGUUUGUCGCGUCGGGAGUGAAAACACCGGGCUUAACUCGGUGCUUGCUUUCGAUACGGGCAGACUAGAGGCAUGCAGGGGAGAACGGAAUUCCUGGUGUAGCGGUGAAAUGCGCAGAUAUCAGGAGGAACACCGGUGGCGAAGGCGGUUCUCUGGGCAUGUCCUGACGCUGGAGGAGCGAAAGCGUGGGGAGCGAACAGG
rnacentral:rRNA from 1 species